GAAGUCAUGGAGUAUUUGACAGCUUGAUAUAGUUGCAUCAGACAGAUAAAUAUUUAACUGUUAAUUUUAAGUAUUUGUAGUUCAUAAUCGCGUAUUACAACUACGGAUUACAGAACUUUGUCAAUGACCUAAACCAUGUAAACGGACAUAAACAGGAAUGAAUGAACAGAUCAGGUUUGAAGUAACCUUUGAUGGGGUCUUAUAGAGACAGCUGGCACAGGUUGGAAUUAUGACAUAAUACAGAUUAUGGAUCAUUAAUUGGAAAUAAAUCAGAAAAAGUACUUCAGUUCUUGCUUAGAAGAUCAGUGCCAUCUAUUAUAGUAAAGACCAUUGUAUUCCAGCUCAUGAAUGUUCAAGAAAGUUGAAAGAUCGAGCAAAGGUGUGGAACCAGAUAUGCUAAUACCAGUGGCCCAGGAUUUGGAGGAGACUGGUUACCCAAUAAAUGUUAUCCAU